rnacentral:rRNA from 1 species
UACAGAGGGUGCAAGCGUUAAUCGGAAUUACUGGGCGUAAAGCGUGCGUAGACGGUUGCGUAAGUCAGAUGUGAAAGCCCCGGGCUCAACCUGGGAAUUGCAUUUGAGACUGCGUAGCUAGGGUGCGGAAGAGGGAAGCGGAAUUUCCGGUGUAGCGGUGAAAUGCGUAGACAUCGGAAGGAACACCAGUGGCGAAAGCGGCUUCCUGGUCCAGCACCGACGUUCAGGCACGAAAGCGUGGGGAGCAAACAGG